CCUACGGGGGGCAGCAGUGGGGAAUUUUGGACAAUGGGCGAAAGCCUGAUCCAGCAAUGCCGCGUGUGUGAAGAAGGCCUUCGGGUUGUAAAGCACGGAAAAGUCCAAAGCGGUACCGGAAGAAUAAGCACCGGCUAACUACGUGCCAGCAGCCGCGGUAAUACGUAGGGUGCAAGCGUUAAUCGGAAUUACUGGGCGUAAAGCGUGCGCAGGCGGUUUGUUAAGACGGAUGUGAAAUCCCCGGGCUCAACCUGGGAACUGCAUUCGUGACUGGCAGGCUAGAGUAUGGCAGAGGGGGGUGGAAUUCCACGUGUAGCAGUGAAAUGCGUAGAGAUGUGGAGGAACACCGAUGGCGAAGGCAGCCCCCUGGGCCAUCUGACGCUCAUGCACGAAAGCGUGGGGAGCAAACAGGAUUAGAUACCCUUGUAGUC
rnacentral:rRNA from 1 species